rnacentral:lncRNA from 12 species
GGUACACGUGUGUGAUUGUAAUAAUUGUAUAUUUUUACUGGACAGAAGUGCAUGUUUCAUCUAAAGAUCAUGGAUCUAUUUGUCAGUUUAUCCAAGUAUAAAGAAGAGCCUGAACAAAAGGAAACAGGUUGCUGAAGCUGCAUUUCGUGUGAAGUUGUUGGAAGAGAAGGCAAAGGUGGAGUGAAGCAAGUAACAAUGUGUGGCUGUCCAGAACCUGUGAAGAACAGAACCCUGGUGUCUCAAGGCAGGGCUACAGGAACUGAUUAAUCCAACUCUGAGGCCAUUCUGACAUCUUUAUAUCUGUGUCAAUCUAUAAAAGGGAAUUUGGGCUUCCCUGGGAGAGGGAUGGCCUCUGUGAGAACAAGCAGAGGUGGCUGAGGUGCUCGAGAGCUGGUCCCUUUUGACUGAGAAAGGCUGUAUUUCCUGCUAAUACCCACUGUCACCUCAGUUCAACACACG